GCCGGAAUAGUCUAGUGGUAUGAUUCCUGUUUUGGGUACAGGAGGUCGCGAGUUCGAGUCUCGCUUCCGGCC
rnacentral:tRNA from 1 species